rnacentral:rRNA from 1 species
UACGAAGGGUGCAAGCGUUAAUCGGAAUUACUGGGCGUAAAGCGUGCGUAGGCGGUUGUUUAAGUCUGCUGUGAAAUCCCCGGGCUCAACCUGGGAAUGGCAGUGGAUACUGGGCAGCUAGAGUGUGUCAGAGGAUGGUGGAAUUCCCGGUGUAGCGGUGAAAUGCGUAGAGAUCGGGAGGAACAUCAGUGGCGAAGGCGGCCAUCUGGGACAACACUGACGCUGAAGCACGAAAGCGUGGGGAGCAAACAGG